rnacentral:lncRNA from 12 species
ACUUCUUUUCUUUUUUGGCUGUUUUUAUUUAUUAAUUUUAAUGCAUUUUGUUAAAUACUAUAAGAGAAAGAUCUUGUAAUUAAGAUUUGUCUCUAUCUUUUCCUGAAAUCUAAUAUAUCAUUUGAAUUUCUGUUCCAGGGCCAAAGUGCCUCACCUGCAUUCUAAGGAGAAGCAAGUUGCAGCUCAUUAGCAUCAAGAGGAUGCUUAUUAGAGCUUUUGUCAGCUACACUGGCCUAACUUACACUGUUCACCUGCUGUGAAUUUCAGAGAACCUUACACCCUCUCUACCAAUGGAUCAUGAGAGGGGCUUGUUUUCAUUUCAAAUGCUGACAUCUUGCACUUGAUGUGGACUUUAAGAGGACAUUUUGUCCUCACCAAUAUCUGAAACCUCAGUUUUCUACUGACUUUUAUUGACGGGGAGACUUGAUGAGCAGGUAUGAUAACUUUAGUGACUCUGAAGAUGACCUUGGAGGUAAUACCAACCUACAGUUGCAUGUUUUAAAAGUCUAUUUAAAGGUAUAAAAAGAUAAAAAUAAAAUAAA